rnacentral:rRNA from 1 species
AGAGUUUGAUCCCUGGCUCAGAUUGAACNNGCUGGCGGCGUGCCUAACACAUGCAAGUCGUGCGAGAAAGUGGGCUUCGGCCCGCGAGUACAGCGGCGCACGGGUGAGUAACACAGUGGGUGAUCUCCCUAACAGAUUGGGAUAACAGCGGGAAACUGCUGCUAAUACCGGAUACGAUCCACUUAAUCGUGGAUGAAAGGCGGCCUCUGCUUGCAAGCUGCCACUGUUAGAUGAGCCCGCGUCCCAUUAGCUUGUUGGCGGGGUAACGGCCCACCAAGGCGACGAUGGGUAGCUGGUCUGAGAGGAUGACCAGCCACACUGGGACUGAAACACGGCCCAGACUCCUACGGGAGGCAGCCAGUGGGGGAAUAUUGCGCCAAUGGGGCCGAAAGCCUGACGCAGCGACGCCGUGUGNGGGAAGAAGGCCUUCGGGUCGUAAACCUCUGUCAGAAGGGAAGAACCCCCC